UACGUAGGGUGCAAGCGUUAAUCGGAAUUACUGGGCGUAAAGCGUGCGCAGGCGGUUUUGUAAGUCUGACGUGAAAUCCCCGGGCUCAACCUGGGAAUUGCGUUGGAGACUGCAAGGCUGGAGUCUGGCAGAGGGGGGUAGAAUUCCACGUGUAGCAGUGAAAUGCGUAGAGAUGUGGAGGAACACCGAUGGCGCAAGGCAG
rnacentral:rRNA from 1 species